rnacentral:rRNA from 1 species
GACGAACGCUGGCGGCGUGCUUAACACAUGCAAGUCGAACGGAAAGGCCCUGCUUUUGUGGGGUGCUCGAGUGGCGAACGGGUGAGUAACACGUGAGUAACCUGCCCUUGACUUUGGGAUAACUUCAGGAAACUGGGGCUAAUACCGUAUAGGAGCUCCUGCUGCAUGGUGGGGGUUGGAAAGUUUCGGCGGUUGGGGAUGGACUCGCGGCUUAUCAGCUUGUUGGUGGGGUAGUGGCUUACCAAGGCUUUGACGGGUAGCCGGCCUGAGAGGGUGACCGGCCACAUUGGGACUGAGAUACGGCGCAGACUCCUACGGGAGGCAGCAGUGGGGAAUAUUGCACAAUGGGCGGAAGCCUGAUGCAGCAACGCCGCGUGCGGGAUGACGGCCUUCGGGUUGUAAAACGCUUUCGCCUGUGACGAAGCGUGAGUGACGGUAAUGGAUAAAGAAGCACCGGCUAACUACGUG